rnacentral:lncRNA from 1 species
UUGUUCUUUGUUUUGUUUUGUUUUUGUUUUCUUUCUAAAAAAAAUGCAUUUUUGUUGAAAGUUUUAGGCUAUAGAAUAAUUUGAGGUCGAGUUUGCGGAGACUUGGGAAAAAUUCACAAGAUCGGUAUUGUUUUAACACCGUAAGUCUCCUGCAUAUGGAAAUUGAGUUGAAUUUUUAUUAUGACAUAGCCUUAAAUUCUCAUUCUCUGACAGCUCUUGAGUAGUUUAUUUCAGCAGUCAGCACCAUCU